rnacentral:lncRNA from 1 species
CCGCGGUUAAACCUCGUCGAAGAAGAAGUAAACUGCUAUCGAUUUCGAAGCAUGCUUCGGAGUUUCAGUAUCAAACGUAACAUCACUAGGGUUCAGCAGAAACAUUGGAUACCAGAUUCCCCCAAAAAUCGUGGACAGUUUAACCACACAGUUCAUGUCUCCUAGAAUGCUUUUAGACGGAGUCGACAAUCCGAGGGAGCCGUAUCUGUUCACUACAAACAGGAACAGAAGAACUGAGCGAGCUCCCUCAGCCUACUAUUCACUCUCAUGCCUACUGUUAUUGGUGGAAGGAAUACCUGAGCGUAAUAUAUUUUUUCUGGCACAGCAUUGUAAUGGACACAUUGAACCCAAUCAUUUUUGUUUUUUAAUUUUGCCGAAACAUUGCAAUGGAAACAUGAGAAUUCCCCCCUCCCAGGAAUAACUUUUAUCGAUCCUUAUUGUUCUUAUGGAUAUAAUUCACUUGGAGUUCUUUGUUUGUUUUAUGCUCCAAGUUCCACUGAACUGUGGAAGAAAUACUUUUAUUCUGUUAAGUCAGAGGUAUUUCCCCAAGCCUGCAAUCUGUUGUUUCAUCCCCUGUGGAUCAAAGAGAUGUCAGACAAAAAAAGCACAUUUGGAACCACUGGUGCCAGGGCUGUAACAGUGGACAACUGACACAUUGACGAAGGGGAGGACAUGGAUGAGGAACCCUCAGUUUUGUGUCCCCAGCACUUCACCAUGAACAAAAACGACAUUCCACUGAUUUCAAAACUCCGUCAACUUCUUCCGUGACAACAACACUAUUGAUUACCGUUUCUUCCCCAUCACUGUCAUCAGAAGACUCUACAAUGUGUUCUUGAAUUAAAAAUGUUUUUACCUAAAUCAGGGAUUUCCUCAUUGUCUGAUUCAUUUUCAGAGUCAGAGAGAGUCAGCAUGGCACGAUCGUCCUCCAGAAAAUAGUCCAUCACAACUUUUUCCCACUGACCUUUGCUGCCCUGAAUUUAUCAGGCACCAAUGUUAUUGAGAGCAUUAGCAACACAUUUGCAGUUCUCCAUGGCUAAUGGUAUAUCUUUUGAAAAAACUGCAGUAGAACGGAUUACACAUAACGAGCAGCUCAUUUUAUAGACAGAAGAUGCACCAUGGCAGACCAAUCUGAAACUCAUCUCUUGGCAUGUCCAGCCCACUCAUUAUCUCAGCCAAUCAUGGCUAGCGGAAGGUUCUUGGCUUUUUUUGUGGCUAAACCAACUAAGCUCAUAAUUUAACAACUUUAUUUGUAUUUACAGAUGGCAUACACAUUUGUUAUUAAGACACACAAAGUUCAAAUGUUCCAGCAUUCUUGCCAAAAACACAUUUUGAUUUAAAAAAAAAUGUAAUAACAUUUAAAUAACUCGUGUGAUGUCGUGACUUGCGACAUGCCUAGUUUCCUGAAACGAGUCACAAAUGUGGUUUCGACUGAUAAUUGAGAUGUACAAACUAUGGCAUAAGGGAAUGAUCGCCAUCCGUAAUUUUGAUUAAGACAUUAAGGAGCAAACUAGGACGACAUAGUCAAUAUAACUAUUUGUUCAGCACUUUUGAAACCAUUCCUGAUUCACACAGGAAACUGUUGAGCGUGAAAACCCCAGCAGCAUUGCAGUUCUUGACACAAACCAAUAGUUGCGCCUGGCACCGACUACCAUACCCCGUUCAAAGUCACUUAAAUAUUUUGUCUUGCCCAUUCACCCUCUGAAAUAGUAGGUGUCCUUAAUGUUUUGUACAGUCUGUAUAUGGAUGGAGGUAUUAUUGGAAUGUGCUUUAAUCAGAGUCCAGUCCUGAAGGUGGCGGUAAUGCGCCUAAACAAACAAGUUAACCCUCAACAAAUGAAGAAGUCAACAAAACAACAUUGUUGCCUUCAUUUCGGCAUCAUUCGGGAUAGAUUUCGAAGUAAAACAAAUCUGUAGCUACAUCUCCGAUGUAGAAAGUCUAAUGGUGAUGCGUGUGUUUCCAGCAGCAGUGUCCCUAAAGCAGCAUGGUCUUAUUAUCCCUUCUCCAUGUCGGACUGAACUGUUUCAAACCAUCAAAGCCUGAAAGUGUGUUGUCAAUCUUAUUUUUAGACACAGAUGAAUCGAAUAAUUUACUGUCACUGGCUGGGACCUAGAACAAGAGUCUAUUGGGAAUGUCAAUGUUUUCAGUCACUUGCUUGUAAUAACUUGUCAUUAUCACCAUAGCUAUUACCUUUGAUGUUUUUACAUCCCUUCUUAUCCCUGACCAAGAUCAGAAUCAGUUGUGGAUGUCAAUAGCCACCUUUCCAUGUAGGAACUUAUGGAAAACUAUCCCUUGAGGGCCUUUUCACACCAAAUGUAUCCAAAUAAAUGUCUUCCUUAUGACAGCUUUCACAUCAAUUGUGAAACUGUACUGCAAAACUGUAGGUAUUUCAUACUCGUUGUGUGGACGUCUACACAUAACAUGAAUAUGAAGAGUAUCGUGGUCGGGACAAUAACUAGUGGUAGGGACAAUUUCAAUACAGCUUUAAACCAAUGCAGAUUAAUGACCUUGCACUGUCUGAAAUUGACAUUUUAGAAUGUUUACAGCCAACAAGUCACAGAUCCUCCUCGAAUUUACAUUCCUCAUUUACCUUGAUGCAUGCUAUUUGAAUCUGGGUGUACAACAGCUCUUUUCAGAGUGAAAUCCAGUUUGUGAUCCCCAAAAAUGUAUAAGUAGUGACUUUUUUGUUUAGUAUUUUUUAACUUUCCUGUCGGUUUGAAUAGUCACGAAACAUUAUGAUGAAAUCUUUGGCUCUGCUCCUUAUGUUUAUUCACAGAUCCUCUGCUUGACACAAUUGAGAGACAUGAAGUCUGUUUCUGUCCUCAACUUGUGGACCUGCUCUGAGGUUGGACACCACUGUUACAGUCAUAAAUGUUUCUGUCAGUCGACGGGCUGACUGACCUCAAGGCGCAGAAUGUGUUUUGUUUGUCGUUGACACAUUAUUCAGAGAACUGUCUGUUGUGAAUGACAUAGAUAUCCAGCCAUUUUUUAUUAUUUAUUAAAUAUGACCUGUACUAUGACAAUGGUAGUUAAACACUAGCACUACUUGAGAAAUUAUUAAUUACAUAUUCUGUGGCGGCAGUCAGCCUAGAGGUUUGAGAUGUGGAUCAGUUACUGAUGUGUGGCUUGUGUCAUUUCCCAGCUGCCCUCUGUGUACUAGUGUUGUACCCUUUAGCUGGGCACAUAUUCCCUAAAAUGUUCCAAUGGUGGUGUGCUGUAGCUGACCUGGUGCCUCUGCACGUGUGUUUUGGGGGGUUGGGAAAGGCUAAAGACAAAAUUCAAUUUCUGGAAAAAAAGGACAAAGCAUUAUCCUGUUGUAUUUUAGGUAUAGGAGGAGGUCUGGUCAUCUAGUCUGGUGCAGUGGGGUGUUCCAGGUCCGCAACUUGAUGAGAAAACUUCUUAAUCAUGAUAAGGACCGAUGGUAAAGGAAGACUGUGACGGAUCGUUACAAGGCACCCGGACCUUCAUCCUCGAUACCUCUCUUGCGAAUGACGGGGAUGUGAAGUAAAUUCUUCCCGUCCGACUCGUUGAAGAAAAAGUAUUCCUCCAGUACGGGGUCCUCUGCUUGCCAUACUAGAGGGACAUAGUCUGUUUCCAUCCUCAACUUGCGGACCUGCCCUGAGGAUGUUUUACACCACUGUUGCGCCUUCAGCCAUGUUGAUUUCCGACUGGUUGUCUUUGGACUACAUGCCAUGGGCUGACUGACCUGAACCUUUACCAGAACAGAAAUACAAUGUUCAUCAGACUUUCCUCACAUUGGACUACUCUCUGAUUAGUUAUGAGGUCACAGGAAAUGGACUCAUUACUCAUAAAUCAUUGCAGCUCACUUGACUGCUUCUGACUGUGGGUAGCAGAGCUCUCUGGUGUUUCACCAUUUGAAAUUAAACAACAAAAAUGUAAAUGACCAUUGUUUUACACUUCCGACAUAUCGCAGCAGUAAGAGUAGUAUUCUACCCGACUCGUAUAAACAACAUCCUUAAGUGUUUCAUUGAUAAAUGUAGUUUUGUAAGAUUGUAUAACUUUUUUACUUGUAAAAAACCUGCAGACAUGCAUGAUCCUGUAAAUAUUUUCAUGGAACAUAAAAUCUCACUACUUGGUAUUUUUAUAUGGUGAUUGUGAAAGAGAUAUUUGUAAUGUACUUUUGUGUGUUCAUUGAAAUCAAAUUUGUUUACAAUGGACUAGUCCGUAAGAUUUUAGUUAGGAUUUUUUUCUCUUCACUUUUUUGUACAAUCAUCUCCACGUAAUACAGCCAGCUUUUCCAUUCUUGGCUAUCUGCCUCUGCAGCCUUUGUCUAAACUUUCAUUUUUUAUAUUACUUUCAGUUAUUUUUAUUGCUACUCUCUUCACAUGGAGAUGUUCGUUAUGGGAUGAUGAUUCCAAUUUGGCAACAGGUGCUCGGAUAGUUGGGAUUAAAUAAGUAUUGUUGCGGUAAUACAAAAUGUAAAUAUCGAUCCCACAUUAAACCAAGUACAAUCACUACCAAGCAAUACAUUCAGAAAUAAUUUGUAGAGUACGGCAUAUGGUUCUAGACUAUUUGUGAAGUAUUUAUGUAGUGUUUAUGAAGCCUUUAUGAAUGCUAUUAAAAUUAUAAAUACUAGCAUUAUUAAUAGACUUUAUAUUUGUUUGGGGUGUUAAGUGAGCUAGCAAGUGUAUUAUGGCAUUUAGGUGUUAUGGAUAAUAGCUCUGGAGGAGAGGUCGAGCCAAAACAAAGUAAACACUGUUGCCUCCAGUACGAUAGGUGGCGAUAUUGCACUGUUUAUCUUGACUGCAAAACAAAGAA